rnacentral:tRNA from 1 species
GUGAUGUUGGCCGAGUGGUUAUGGCGUUGGGUUUAAGCUCCAAUGGAUUUUAUCCGCGUGAGUUCAAUCCUCACACAUCACA